UACGUAGGGUGCAAGCGUUAAUCGGAAUUACUGGGCGUAAAGCGUGCGCAGGCGGUUUUGUAAGUCUGUCGUGAAAUCCCUCGGCUCAACCGGGGAACUGCGUCUGAGACUGGAUCGGCUUGAGGUUCGGAGAGGGAUGCGGAAUUCCUGGUGUAGCGGUGAAAUGCGCAGAUAUCAGGAGGAACACCGGUGGCGAAGGCGGUUCUCUGGGCAUGAUCUGACGCUGAGGAGCGAAAGCGUGGGGAGCGAACAGG
rnacentral:rRNA from 1 species